rnacentral:lncRNA from 1 species
AUGAGCUCAGCGCUUCUGGAAGGGGAGGGCAGGGCAGGGCCGCGUGGUCAGCAGUGACUCAGGCCUCUUUGUCCCGAGCGCACAGUGGAGGACAGACAGCGGGCUCCGUGCAGAACAAAGAGGUUCUGUGGAGCAGCCCGAGCAGAGGGCAGCGCUGGGGAGGGAGCACUCAGAGAGAAAGGGAGCCCUCGGAGCGUGGGCCGGCCCGCCCGGAAGUGCAGCGCAGCGGCAUCGAAGGUCUCCCGAAGGCAGCGAGGAGCCAGCGGGUGGGGCGCCAGGAGGCUGGCACGACCCCUGGGAGGCAGGCCAGGGUCCUCUCCUUUCUGCUGCUGCUGCUGCUGCUGCUAAGUCACUUCAGACGUGUCCGACUCCGUGCGACCCCAGAGAUGGCAGCCCACCAGGCUCUCCCAUCCCUGGGAUUCUCCAGGCAAGAACACUGGAGUGGGUUGCCAUUUCCUUCUCCAAUGCAUGAAAGUGAAAAGUGAAAGUGAAGUCACUCCGUCGUGUUUGACUCUUAGCGACCCCAUGGACUGCAGCCCACCAGGCUCCUCCGUCCAUGGGAUUUGCCAGGCAAGGGUACUGGAGUGGGGUGCCAUCGCCUUCUCCACCUCUGCUUUCUAAGGUCAGAUAAACACUGCUCUCUUUUUUUCCCAAUUCAUUUUCUUCUCUCAUGGAAUUAUUUAAUCCACAGGAAGGCUCUUCUGAUGUCUGAUAGGAAGUAUAACCCAAAUCCUUCUUCUCUGAGUAGUGACAUGGUGUCCCAUCACCUUUCAUGAAUAGCUCACUCUUUCCCCACUAAUGUGAAAGGCACAUUUUAUUAAAUACUAGAUUAUUUUUAAAUAUUGCAUCUGUUUCUCAGUCUUCUUUUUUUUCCCUACUGAUUUCCUAUUUUCACACUGGUGGAUUCAAUAUGUCCUCACAAUACUUUUAAUCUGGGAUAGCAAAUAUACUAUUAAUAUGCUUUUCUAAAAAUCUUUCUCUAUUCCCACUUAUUUGUUAUCUCUUUAAUUUAGAAUUACUUGGUCAAGUUCCAAAAAUAUCCUUACACAAUUUUGGUUGAGAUUACAUUAUAUUUUUUAAAUUGAAAUAUAGUAUUUUUUUAACUGAUGUAUUUUUUUAGUUGAAGUAUUUUUAUUUUUAAUAAAUUUUCCAGCUAGUUGUUGCA